UACUGCCUCUAUCUCGGCCUCUAUAUAUAAUCUAGCUAUAUAUCUAUAAUCUAUAUUAUCAGCAACGACACAGAACAACUAUAGUUAAUAAUAUAUGAUUUUAAAACAUUGGCAUUGACAUUGCGCGAACUGAAUAGCGAAGUCUUGCAACUUCUACUGCAUGAAUACAAACUUGACAUGCAUAGCCAUAGAAGAAAUACUCACAAAAAGUGUCAAAGGACACAAUAUUAUAUAAAAUAUUAUAAUUUAACAAUUUAAUAUUUAUUGAAACUAUUCAAACUUUAGGCUCUAAAACACCUUCAAAGGUAUAGUUUUAAUUCCGUUAACGAACGAGAUUACAAAGAUUAUAUCGAGUUCAAAUUAGUUUCAUGCAUGCAUGCAUCAGUUUCAACUAGAUCCUUUUACUCUUUCAGAUCGAUCCAUAUACAAAAACUUUUUGAAAUGUAAAUCAAAAUAAAACCAUCUUCUUUCAUGUCUAGCAAUGUUCGCUAUAAUCCAAUUUACUUGUUCCCAUCGUUUGACUGUUUUAUUUUUGUUCCAAAAUGUCGAAGACACAAUCCAAUCUUUUAUGAUUUUUGGGGGACAGCCAUUGCCCAUCACAUCAGGAACAGCACUAACUUAAAUGUUUCUUCAUCACCAAUCGGUUUCUUCCAAAACGCAAUUCUCAUAUCAUUUGGCCACACCGACAGUGGGUAAAACAUAUCACCAUCAACACUUCUGAACAAAGCUCGUCUUCUCUCUGAUAUUUCUCUUUUUGAUGAAGUUAAGACGAAGUUUGUUGCUUCACACAUAUUGCUGAUGUAAAACUAGUACUUGCGAGAAUCAGUUAAAUUACAUAAACACAUGCUGUCAUGCAUGCUAUUUGAUUACUCUUUAACUGACUUGCUUCAACUUUCAUACUCAGUUUAUAUUUUUAUAGAGACCCGUAUGGCCCAUUGUUUUCUUUGCAAUGCAAAUAAUUACGCGUUUUAAGAUAUCAGAAUAUAUUUCGGAUAAUAAAACCUGGCUCAAAAUUUUUAAUUAAUGGCGUUUUGUAUAAAAUUGCGUUUAUUCAAUGCUAUAAUAUUUUUAACAUUGUUUACAGUUUCCAAACAUGUAGACGAUCAUGAAUACAGAUAAUCGAUUAUGGAAUUUUAGCAGGACGCUAAUAAAUCAUUUACCUGUCAACAUUCUAAGCGACUUGAUGACACACUAUCUGUUUCCUUUGGCUUUGCCCAGGAGCAAAAAACUUUGGAAAACGUGCCUUUACAUUUCUACCUCGUUUUUAACGGUUCUCAAUUUUAUCUUUAAAAAAUAAUUUCAUUUCAUUUUAUUCCCCCAAGCUGCAUUACUAAACAAAUCUUAAAAACACAAAUGCUGAGAACUGGACGAAGGACGUUUCUUGCGCCAUUUGGCAUUCAUCAUUUAUGGCAGUCGAGGGCCGCUCGUCGCCUUCCUCUUGCAACGUAACACGGUCUCCACAAACAAACAAAUACGCCAUGUUCAGCACAUUAGUUACAGACGUAAAUGGACGUCCCAAAAUGUUCAUAACAGCCACUAAUCGGGACAUACAAGGAGCACUCUCAAAGAACGCCAUCUUUGUAGCAGGGAAAAUAUGUGCGCCCCGCGCAUCCUCAUUUCCAUAUCUCCUGUGAACGCGCUGCUCAAUCGGGCUGAGGAAUGUGUCAGAAACAAAGAUAUAUCCGGCUUUAUCCGGCAUCCUCAGAGAAUACAGACAUACCAAAAACUAGUUUCAUAUUAGAAUAUGCAAUCAACUAACGAAAAAUCGUUGGCUCGAGCGGGAUUUGAAAAUAUUUAUGUCCACAUAAAAUCCAAAAUUAUUUAUUAAUGUGUUGACAAAGAUUACCGGAAAGGUCUCGUCUAUUCCAGAUAGACGGUAUAUUAAAAAGUCCGCUACAGUAUACUGUAUAUCUAGCGGAGUCCUGGAGAAGUGGAGAUGUUGUUAUAUAAAAUUGUCGUUCUCAGUUAAUGAUGUGAUUUAGUAGCGGACUGUAUUUGUUGAUGUUGAUGGCAAAAUUAUAGAGGACAUUUUAUACCGAGCAUAUUUUAAAUCAAGCCCGAAAUUUUGGACUUGGUAUGUUUUUAAAUAUUACUGCACAACUAUAUUCCACAUAUAUAAAACUAAAUGUUAUUCGAAACAAAGUGCGUGUAGGUAUGUUUACUGUAAACAUCUGUUUCAAUGCUCAUGUAGUUACCCACCAUUUGACCUUUGGUUGUCAAAUGGAAUUAAUUGGUGUCCAUUCGAUCGAAUCGAUCGAUUUGAUCCAUUCGACUGGCCUUGCUUGCAUGCUUAAUGCCCAUGGAGUUACCCACCAUUUGACUGUGGGUUGUCGAAUGGAAUUAAUUGGUGUCCAUUCG